CUCGCAUUCAGUACAAGACCAUGGUGCUUGCCUAAAAAAAAUAAUUCCACUUUGGGCCUCAUCACGGAGCUCUUUGGUAAGGUCAUCCAUUAAGAUCCUCUCAGUAGGCCUCAACGCAGAGCUCUUCAGUGGGGACCUUCCAUUGAGAGAGAACCUCUGUGGGCCUCACUUGAUAUGAAAUUGCUUGGCAUCCAACCGUAAGGCGCUACAGAGGGUAGUGUGUACGGCCCAACACAUCACUGGUGCCGAGCUCCCUGGCAUCCAGGACCUCUAUACCAGACAGUGUCAAUGGGCAAGCUACAACGGUGUUUGUCAGACCAUGAAAUCGUUCUUCUCACGGAAAGAGUCACGGGACUCGUCUGAAGGUGUGUCACGCUGGAGCUGCACCUGGCCACCUGUUUCCAGCCUGUUUAACGGACGCAUCCAACUGCAGGUUCUCGUUGCCGUAACAAAGGGGUUGUGUAGGUCUACAAUCUUGUCCCUGACAUCCUUGGAGAGCUCUUUGGUCUUGGCCAUGGUGGAGAGUUUGGAAUCUGAUUGAUUGCUUCUGUAGACAGGUGUCUUUUAUACAGGUAAUAAACUGAGAUUAGGAGCACUCCCUUUAAGAGUGUGCUCCUAAUCUCAGCUCGUUACCUGUAUAAAAGACCCCUGGGAGCCAGAAAUCUUUCUGAUUGAGAGGGGUCAAAUACUUAUUUCCCUCAUUAAAAUGUAAAUCAAUUUAUAACAUUUUUGACAUGCGUUUUUCUGGAUUUUUUUGUUGUUAUUCUGUCUCUCACUGUUCAAAUAAAC
rnacentral:lncRNA from 1 species